CUGAAGUAGGUCCCAAGGGUAUGGCUGUUCGCCAUUUAAAGUGGUACGCGAGCUGGGUUUAGAACGUCGUGAGACAGUUCGGUCCCUAUCUGCCGUGGGCGCUGGAGAACUGAGGGGGGCUGCUCCUAGUACGAGAGGACCGGAGUGGACGCAUCACUGGUGUUCGGGUUGUCAUGCCAAUGGCACUGCCCGGUAGCUAAAUGCGGAAGAGAUAAGUGCUGAAAGCAUCUAAGCACGAAACUUGCCCCGAGAUGAGUUCUCCCUGAGACUUAGAGUCUCCUGAAGGAACGUUGAAGACGACGACGUUGAUAGGCCGGGUGUGUAAGCGCAGCGAUGCGUUGAGCUAACCGGUACUAAUGAACCGUGAGGCUUAACCUUACAACGCCGAAG
rnacentral:rRNA from 1 species